CUGACUGCUAUCGGAUUGAUACUAAGCCAUGCGAGUCAUUGUAGCAAUACAAGGCAGACGGCUCAGUAACGCGUAGUCAACCUAACCUAUGGACGGGAAUAACCUCGGGAAACUGAGAAUAAUGCCCGAUAGAACACUAUACCUGGAAUGGUUUGUGUUCCAAAUGAUUUAUCGCCGUAGGAUGGGACUGCGGCCUAUCAGUUUGUUGGUGAGGUAAUGGCCCACCAAGACUAUUACAGGUACGGGCUCUGAGAGGAGUAGCCCGGAGAUGGGUACUGAGACACGGACCCAGGCCCUAUGGGGCGCAGCAGGCGAGAAAACUUUGCAAUGUGCGAAAGCACGACAAGGUUAAUCCGAGUGGUUUGUGCUAAACGAACCUUUUGUCGGUCCUAGAAACACCGAUGAAUAAGGGGUGGGCAAGUUCUGGUGUCAGCCGCCGCGGUAAAACCAGCACCUCAAGUGGUCAGGAUGAUUAUUGGGCCUAAAGCAUCCGUAGCCGGCGCUGUAAGUUUUCGGUUAAAUCUGUACGCUCAACGUACAGGCUGCCGGGAAUACUGCAGCGCUAGGGAGUGGGAGAGGUAGACGGUACUCGGUGGGAAGGGGUAAAAUCCUUUGAUCUAUUGAUGACCACCUGUGGCGAAGGCGGUCUACCAGAACACGUCCGACGGUGAGGGAUGAAAGCUGGGGGAGCAAACCGGAUUAGAUACCCGGGUAGUCCCAGCUGUAAACUAUGCAAACUCAGUGAUGCAUUGACUUGUGGUCAAUGCAGUGCUGCAGGGAAGCCGUUAAGUUUGCCGCCUGGGAAGUACGUACGCAAGUAUGAAACU
rnacentral:rRNA from 1 species